CCCCCUGGGCUACACUGACGCUCAUGCACGAAAGCGUGGGAGCAAACAGGAUUAGAUACCCUGGUAGUCCACGCUCUAAACGAUGUCAACUGGUUGUCGGGGAAGCAAUUCCUUGGUAACGAAGCUAACGCGUGAAGUUGACCGCCUGGGGAGUACGGCCGCAAGGUUAAAACUCAAAGGAAUUGACGGGGACCCGCACAAGCGGUGGAUUAUGUGGAUUAAUUCGAUGCAACGCGAAAAACCUUACCUACCCUUGACAUGUACGGAACCUCGCAGAGAUGCGGGGGUGCCCGAAAGGGAGCCGUAACACAGGUGCUGCAUGGCUGUCGUCAGCUCGUGUCGUGAGAUGUUGGGUUAAGUCCCGCAACGAGCGCAACCCUUGUCAUUAGUUGCCACAUUCAGUUGGGCACUCUAAUGAGACUGCCGGUGACAAACCGGAGGAAGGUGGGGAUGACGUCAAGUCCUCAUGGCCCUUAUGGGUAGGGCUUCACACGUAAUACAAUGGCCGGUACAGAGGGCAGCCAACCCGCGAGGGGGAGCUAAUCCCAGAAAGCCGGUCGUAGUCCGGAUUGUUCUCUGCAACUCGAGAGCAUGAAGUCGGAAUCGCUAGUAAUCGCGGAUCAGCAUGUCGCGGUGAAUACGUUCCCGGGUCUUGUACACACCGCCCGUCACACCAUGGGAGUGGGUUUCACCAGAAGUAGUUAGCCUAACCGCAAGGAGGGCGACUACCACGGUGAGAUUCAUGACUGGGGUGAAGUCGUAACAAGGUAACCAAGGG
rnacentral:rRNA from 1 species